UAGGGGGCAAGCGUUAUCCGGAAUUACUGGGUGUAAAGGGAGCGUAGACGGUGAUGUAAGUCUGGAGUGAAAGGCGGGGGCCCAACCCCCGGACUGCUCUGGAAACUAUAUGACUGGAGUGCAGGAGAGGUAAGCGGAAUUCCUAGUGUAGCGGUGAAAUGCGUAGAUAUUAGGGGGAACACCAGUGGCGAAGGCGGCUUACUGGACUGUAACUGACGUUGAGGCUCGAAAGCGUGGGGAGCAAAC
rnacentral:rRNA from 1 species